CAUACCAGAGUCGCAGACAUUGAAGCGCGUUCUUGCUAAGUCUGUAGGGUUUAGGGUGGUCCGCCUGUCCCAAUAUCAAAUCGGUAAGUGUGUGAGGGCUCUCUCGCAGCCAUUUUGAGCCCUUUAUGCCCUUUCGCAGCCCCUUUGAGCCCUUUAAGUCUGCAUUUUUGCAGACUUUGGCUAAGGGAAAUGCCCACGGCGCUGUGACUUGAAACACACUUCGGGUUACCAAGGGAGGCCGAAAGCAAACCCGCAUCGUAAUAGAAAAAAAAGAACGGUAAACAAUCAAGCAUGGAAGGAGCAAUUAACCCUGAAGUUAACAUGGUUAGGAAAAAAAAGUUUACAUGGAGCGAUCAACAAACAAUGCAAUUCAUUAAUCUGCGGAUGGAGCACGAUGCUCAGUUUACUGGCCACAGAAAAGCAUCUGCUUAUGGAUUUGAUGUGGUCAUCAAAGAGAUGGGACUGGAUGACAGUCUGACAAAUGUCCAAGCAGCUAAGAAAUGGGAAAACCUAAAGAAAAAGUAUAGGGAUCUGAUACUACAAAUGACCGGAUCAGGGACAGAGAGUGGGGAAGUAACAGCUGCAAGCUGGCCUUUCUUCAAGGCGAUGCAGAAGGCUCUGGGGCAGAGGGACUCUAUCAGGCCUCUGAAUAUCAUCAAAACAGCUGUUGACUUAGAUGUUGAAGAGGAGCCUGAUGAGGUGGCCAGUACCUCUGCUCCAGGGCCAUCCAGUACCCUGUCUGAGGGUUCCAGAAGGCUCAAAUCCCGAAAAAGAAAAAAUGAGGUUAUAGAGUACUUAAAGGAGUACACAGAAAGGCAGGAAAAGAGGCAGAGAGAGCUGGAUGAGAAGGAAGAAGAGAGAAAAAAUAAAAAGCAGGACCAAAUAGACAAA